rnacentral:rRNA from 1 species
GACGAACGCUGGCGGCGUGCUUAACACAUGCAAGUCGAACGGUAAGGCCCUUCGGGGUACACGAGUGGCGAACGGGUGAGUAACACGUGGGUGAUCUGCCCUGCACUUCGGGAUAAGCCUGGGAAACUGGGUCUAAUACCGGAUAGGACUCCUGGCUUCAUGGUUGGGGGUGGAAAGCUUUUGCGGUGUGGGAUGGGCUCGCGGCCUAUCAGCUUGUUGGUGGGGUAAUGGCUUACCAAGGCGACGACGGGUAGCCGGCCUGAGAGGGUGACCGGUCACACUGGGACUGAGAUACGGCCCAGACUCCUACGGGAGGCAGCAGUGGGGAAUAUUGCACAAUGGGCGCAAGCCUGAUGCAGCGACGCCGCGUGAGGGAUGACGGCCUUCGGGUUGUAAACCUCUUUCAGCUAUGACGAAGCGCAAGUGACGGUAGUAGCAGAAGAAGGACCGGCCAACUACGUGCCAGCAGCCGCCGUAA